rnacentral:rRNA from 1 species
CCGGUGUAGCGGUGGAAUGCGUAGAUAUCGGGAGGAACACCAGUGGCGAAGGCGGCCUACUGGGCACCAACUGACGCUGAGGCUCGAAAGUGUGGGUAGCAAACAGGAUUAGAUACCCUGGUAGUCCACACCGUAAACGAUGAUUACUAGGGGUGGAGGGAUUGACCCUUUCAGUGCCGCAGUUAACACAAUAAGUAAUCCACCUGGGGAGUACGACCGCAAGGUUGAAACUCAAAGGAAUUGACGGGGGCCCGCACAAGCAGUGGAGUAUGUGGUUUAAUUCGACGCAACGCGAAGAACCUUACCAAGUCUUGACAUCCCUUGGCGAACAUAGAAAUAUGUUUUCUCUUCGGAGCAAGGAGACAGGUGGUGCAUGGUUGUCGUCAGCUCGUGUCGUGAGAUGUUGGGUUAAGUCCCGCAACGAGCGCAACCCUUACUGUCAGUUACUACGCAAGAGGACUCUGGCAGGACUGCCGUUGACAAAACGGAGGAAGGUGGGGAUGACGUCAAAUCAUCAUGCCCUUUAUGACUUGGGCUACACACGUACUACAAUGGCGUUAAACAAAGAGAAGCAAGACCGCGAGGUGGAGCAAAACUCAGAAACAACGUCCCAGUUCGGACUGCAGGCUGCAACUCGCCUGCACGAAGUCGGAAUUGCUAGUAAUCGUGGAUCAGCAUGCCACGGUGAAUACGUUCCCGGGCCUUGCACA